CGCCGUACAUAUGUUACGCGCAUAAUGUACAUGGAGCUGUUUUACCGUUUCGGAGUCUGCACGUACGCGCCCAUUAUUGAGUUACGCAUGUUAGAAACCCGUAAUACAUUAUGUUUGACGUGCCAACGUCCACGUUUCCCGAAUGUUCAACGCGGCGAUUCGAAAUAGGAGGAAUAAAACCCGAAGAUUUGUGAAGACCAGAGAUAACGUUGUUCUACAAGAUUAAAAAAUGUAGUCAGCAUUGUAAACGUAACGAGUAAACCGUGGACUUUUGUAUAUAAUAAAAAUUGUCUACCUGA